rnacentral:sRNA from 1 species
AGAUAUGUUACCUCGCCUACUCGGGCAGC